rnacentral:piRNA from 1 species
UCUCAUACCAGCCUUACUCCAAGACCAAGU